rnacentral:lncRNA from 1 species
CAGACGGCGGCAUUCGGCGCUGUGUGGCGCGUCAUCCGCGGCCACGGCGGCGCGGGCCAGACGUACGGCGAGCCGCGCGACCAGACCCUGGUGUUGUAAGCGAUCGGCGUCGUGCACAUGGGCCAGACACUGACGCGCCGUCAUCGAGAGCCACAUGUUGCCAAAGGCCAAGGCGUCUGCGUCCUCGGCAAAGCAAAACACGCCGGGCGGCGGCUCGCAAUCGACGCUGGUUGCCACGGCAGUGAUCCCGGCGGGCGACGCCAUGUGCACGCGCGCCUGUUGGAUCAUCCUGGCGCGGUCCACCCACACGGGACCUGUGUCGGCGACAACCUCUCGGUCAUCGUCAUUGUCGUUGGGUGUCUCGGCAGAACCCGCCACGAUGCGCCAUGGUCGUUGGGGAUGCGCGCCUGGACGCGCAGCAAAGACAAGACGCCACAUGCCGCCUCGGCAUUCCCACACACAGAGAGGCCGGUCGGCGCGCGCCUUGUCGGCCAGACGCUCAAGGACGGUCGUGUCAUACACGCGCUCGCUCUCGCUGUCCAACUCUAGAGCGUGCAUGUCUGUGUCUCUACCAUUGUGACUGUCGAUGGCGACGUGUGUGUCGGUUGCCAUGGGUGCGGCGUGCGGUUCCAUGUGGGCGCCGGCCGGCACAGUCUCGGGGUUCUCAUCGUUGCCGUCGUCGCGGCGCAUAGGAUCGCUUGCAUCGACCGGUUCCACUUUGAUCGGCUCCAGUUUGACCGGUUCCAAGUUGACCGGGUCCGGCUCGACCGCACGCGGGACGAUGUCGUGGUGUGUGCGAGAAGAGGCCGCUGUGAGUCGGUGAUGGUUGUCACGGGCGUACUGGAUACGCUCGCCGAGGGCGGCAAAGCCGGGCGUCAAGUGGUAGCAUUUGAGGCGCCCACCAUAGAGCGACCUACCGAUGGCAUUGGCGCCGGCCAGCAGAAAGUUGACCAAGUCGUCGGCCUGCACGACCGACGACGGCGUCUGAUCGCCGGUAAAGGGCUCGGCCGCAAACACCCAGCCGCGACGGGUGAGCGUGCGCAAGAUGGUGGUUGAGAUUUGGCGCCCGUGUUGGCCACGCGUGCCAGUGGCAUUGCGCACGAGGUCGAGCGCCGAGACGGCCUCGCCGUCGUCGGUGAUGCGCGGCGGCACCUCGCCGUGAAAGGGCCGAUCGCGUUGUGGAUGAGGCGACCGUCCGCCUUGUGCGUGCCGGGCGUCGGACGUGGGCGACUGAGGCGAGUCGCGGCGCGGUGUCGAUGCCGUGCGGACGAGGCCCUGGAACCAAUCUCCGUCAUCGCGCGAGUCGCCGCGCUCAUAGUCUGACAAAUGUCGAUCCCGCUGUUGGCGGUCGCUGUGGUGGUCGUUGUGACGGCUGUGGCGGCGGUCACGACGGUCAUCACGGUCGUGGUGAUGGUGGUGAAAAUACCGUUGGCCUUGCCCGGCGUCUAUCCGUGCUGGCGCGCCGGCGGCACGGUUGGCCCGGUCGGGUUCCAUUCUGGCCGCGCAAGUAUGCCCGAAUUGUUGCCUCUUUUGCCUGCGCACACACCUUGAUCC